UCCUGGCUCAGGAUGAACGCUAGCUACAGGCUUAACACAUGCAAGUCGAGGGCAGCAUGAUCAAGCUGCUUGAUGAUGGCGACCGGCGCACGGGUGAGUAACGCGUAUCCAACCUUCCCUAGUAGGGCAUAGCCCGGCGAAAGUCGGAUUAAUACCCUAUGUUAUUCGUCGAGGACAUCUGAAGUGAAUCAAAGAUUUAUCGCUAAGGGAUGGGGAUGCGUCUGAUUAGGUUGUUGGCGGGUAACGGCCCACCAAGCCAUCGAUCAGUAGGGGUUCUGAGAGGAAGGUCCCCCACAUUGGUACUGAGACACGGACCAAACUCCUACGGGAGGCAGCAGUGAGGAAUAUUGGUCAAUGGGCGAGAGCCUGAACCAGCCAAGUAGCGUGCCAGGAUGACUGCCCUAUGGGUUGUAAACUGCUUUUAUACGGGGAUAAAGUGAGGUAUGCAUACCUUUUUGUAGGUACCGUAUGAAUAAGGACCGGCUAAUUCCGUGCCAGCAGCUGC
rnacentral:rRNA from 1 species